rnacentral:rRNA from 1 species
UACGUAGGGUGCAAGCGUUAAUCGGAAUUACUGGGCGUAAAGCGUGCGCAGGCGGUUUUGUAAGUCUGUCGUGAAAUCCCCGGGCUCAACCUGGGAAUGGCGAUGGAGACUGCAAGGCUAGAGUUUGGCAGAGGGGGGUAGAAUUCCACGUGUAGCAGUGAAAUGCGUAGAUAUGUGGAGGAACACCGGUGGCGAAGGCGGCAUCCUGGACCAACACUGACGCUGAGGAGCGAAAGCCAGGGGAGCAAACGGG